rnacentral:rRNA from 1 species
GUAUAAGAGACAGCAGUCGCCACGGGAAUACGUAGGGUGCAAGCGUUAAUCGGAAUUACUGGGCGUAAAGCGUGCGCAGGCGGUUAUAUAAGACAGAUGUGAAAUCCCCGGGCUCAACCUGGGAACUGCAUUUGUGACUGUAUAGCUAGAGUACGGCAGAGGGGGAUGGAAUUCCGCGUGUAGCAGUGAAAUGCGUAGAUAUGCGGAGGAACACCGAUGGCGAAGUCAAUCCCCUGGGCCUGUACUGACGCUCAUGCACGAAAGCGUGGGGAGCAAACAGGAUUAGAUACCCGCGUAGUCCCUGUCUCUUAUAC